AGGUCCCCUCAAAGAAAAGUAACCCACCCAAAAGGGAUUCUUUAUAUAUAUAUAUUGCUACAAUUGUGAGAGAUGGAAACACACACAAAUGGAUAUAUAAUCUUCAACUAAGUGAUCACACUUGCUUUUUCCUCUCUCUCUCUCUCUGAGAUUUGAGAGCCCCGUAUACAAAGCUCGGAAGCUAAUUGCAGAUGGGUUAUGCAGCAGUACUGCUGGUGCUGGUGGAGAGGGCGGUGAAGAAGAACAAAUAUUGGAUCGAUAUGAAGGUAUUGGCGCGCCUCAAUCGGAAUACAUGGUUGGAUUGAAGUGAAGUAUACUGAUCAUGUGAAUUUUGAUUGAGCCGCGUCAAUAUCUUGUUUUCUUUGCUACUCUCUCUUCCUCUCCUCUCUGUGAUCAUCUUCAACCCUAAUUAGAUCUAGACCCGUUGAAGUCAUAACCUUGAGUACCUUGCUUUGAAGAGCCAAGAAGCUAAGGAAAUGAAUCAAAGGACUUUCGAUCCAUUGUUUCCUUAAUCGAGCAGUCACCUCCCACUUGGAGGUCAGAGGGAUAAACCCAAACACCUCACGAAGAGGCCAAAAGCAUUCCUCAAGAAGAGGCCAUAAGGAAAAACCCAUGAAAUAUGCUAGAAAGAGGGUGGAGGAGGAGGAAUUGAAAAAGCACCGCCUCCUCAUGGCAAAGGCAGAUUGGCGCGAGAAGUUUCAAGUUUGUAAAGCUGAGAGGGUUUUUCUCUUUCUUGAAAUGAAAGAGAGCCUAUUUUUUAUAUCAAUGUGAGGGCCAACAAAAAUUUCCACCAUUUGUAAAAAAAAAAAUUGUUGGCUUUUCAUAAACAAGGGGACUCGAAUUUGGGUAUCACUAGGAUGUUGAGUAUAUGCCUUAAUCAAAACUAACGUCAACUUAUAAAAUA